rnacentral:tRNA from 1 species
GGUUCGGUGGUCUAGGGGUAUGAUUCUCGCUUAGGAUGCGAGAGGUCCCGGGUUCAAAUCCCGGCCGGACCC